UAAGAUAGAAAAUGAUCACUUGAACCUGAAAACCCCCAUCCAGUUUACAUUAUACUGCCCAAAUGCAGUGAUCAUCUGUGUUAAUUUAAAAACACACCCCCUGCUUACUUUGCACAGCCAUCAGAGAGCUCCCCCCACCCCAGCUCACCAUUUACACACUAUUUUUCUUUGUAUAUGAUUAACAUUUAUACCAGGUUGUGAUCUUACUCAGUAUUUACCUGGUUCUGAUUUCUCUAAGUCCUAGAUACAGACCUCUGGAAAUAAUGAGCUCUAAGGGAAACGCUGCCCAGAUCUCCAGCCUCGGAGACACCAGGAACCGGGCCUUCCACAGCUGGCUCUUAGUAUGGGGCUGACCUGCUACAUCAGUCCUUCUGGAGGCAGGACCACAAUCACCCUGUCCACAGGAAAGCAGGAAAGGGCAGCCUGUUUGGAGCCAAACCAAAGCCCGCGGGGCCAGCUGCUGGAAGGUGAGGUGGCCGUUCUUCGGUAGCAGUCUUCCAAGCCCUCUACAGAUUUGAAACAUUUCAAAAGCAAAAGUUUGAGCACCAACAGCUACGCACCCAGUGCGUGUCUGGGAAUUUUCUGGUAUCGUAAGACUCCCCUGUGGGCUGCCCCUGCUCACAAGUUGUGAGAAAUCCAGUGGUUGAGGGGUAGUAAACCGACAGGUCUUCUGGCCAGUUUUCUUCUCCGCAAGGAGUAGUUAUGACUCCUUUUGGGCUGUUUGUGUCACUUCAAAGGCCCUUUAGGCCAAGGCGUGUGUCAGUCCCUCUUUGGCACCACGAGCCACUUCGAUAGUUUCUGUUCAUGGCUAUUCUACAUCUGUUGGGAAGAGUCAGUUUUUGCCCAUUUUUUACUGCGUUCUUCAGCUUACUGAAUGCAAGAGCUCUGGGUACAAAUGUUUGGGUCAUCAGAUGAUAUGUGUAUGUUCUAAAUACAAAUCUUCUGUUACAGAAUUUUAAAAAGCUAUACACUGUUGGUAUCUCCAGAACUUAGCCCCAGGGUCCUAUCCUCUCAAUAUUCAACUUCUCAAAUGGGUGGUCAAUUUCAAAGGAUGCUAAAUUUCAGCAAAACAAUGGCAUGUUUCUAAGGACCCAAGACCCCUCUCUCCUGCUCACUUCCUUUCUGCGUAAAAGUUCUUGCCACUGAGUUUCAGAGGUGUUCUCCCCAAACCUGAAUCAGUAAACUAACUGGAUAUUUCACAAAGAAUGUUUCACAAACUCAGAGUCUGUAGUCUAGAAGAGAGAGAUUCAGGUAUUAACCAAGUAAUCACAUAGAUGGAAACUUUCAGUAGUGACAAGUACCGUGUAACUCAGUAGUAGAGGGAUUUGACCCAGUGAGGGAGGGAAGUGAAAGCAGCUUCUGGAGGAAGAUAAGGGGACUCAGCCAAGAAGAAGGCACAGCAGGAGCAAGAUAAUGUGGGUCUAAAAGAAGACCUGUGAAUAUGGAACCCAGAAAGGAGGAUAGUUCAAGAGAAACUUAAAGACAUGAGUAGGAAUCUUGUCCUCUCUCAUCUUAGGAGCAGUGGGAAGCUGCUCAAACGUC
rnacentral:lncRNA from 1 species